AACGCAUCUUGCGCUCCUUGGUAUUCCGAGGAGCAUGCCUGUUUGAGUGUCGUGAAAUCUUCAACCUCGUUUCGCUUUGUGUGGAGUGAGGCUUGGAUUGUGGGGGCUGCCGGGUCUUGACUCGGCUCCUCUGGAAAGCAUCAGCGCGGUGUUUCCGACGCGACUCGUGGUGUUGUAGGCACAAACUUGCACCUUCGACGUGGUCGUGGCGGGGCCGGGCUUCCAAUCUGGAUUUUGUCCUUAGCCGGAUGAAUCCGUUCUUUUCAAUCUGACCUCAAAUCAGGUAGGACUACCCGCUGAACUUAA
rnacentral:rRNA from 1 species